UGAAGAUGAUUCUUCGCUAGAUGCUGCAGGAGCUUUUGUUGAUUGUUUUUCUGGAGUACUACCAACUAAUGAAUCAAAAAGUUCUUCCGAACUAGCUGUUAUUUGUACAGAGAUAUAAUUAUAAUUAUUAUAAUUUUUAUAUGAAAUUAGCGUAUCAAUAUAACAAUAUAAUUAAUAUGUUAAACUAAUAGUCCAUAACAGUAACAUUUACUUACGUUUCUUAUGUAUUUUGAGAAUAUCAUCAGAAUCGCUAUUAAUGACAGCUGUAGUAGGUUUUGUUUUACUAAAAAAUAAAUUUAAUGAGAAUAUAUUGCUUAUCUGUAAUGUCGAAAACAAACUUCGUAAAUAUUAGCAUAUUAAAAAUACACAUAAAUUUGACACAUAUCAAAUGGAAAUUAAUACCUGCUGCUGCUCUACGAGAUGUACGAGGUGCUGGAGGAGGAGAAAUACUGCCAAAAUCAAUAUCAUCAUUACUAUCAGAAUCUUUAUCUUUCUUCUUGUCGUCUUUUUCUUUUUUCGCUUUGGAUUUAAAUUGUAAUGUUGUUUGUUUCAAUCCUAAUCAAUAUAGUAAAUGGUUAUUAUUGAUAAAUUUCAUAGAAUUUUUUAUUUUAUUAUAACUAUGAGCAUAUAUACUUUUUUUGCCACCAGCUCUUUUUUCUAUUUUUUCUGGAGAAUUGCCCAAUCUAUCAUCUAUAGGUUUGGCAUUUGAUUCAAUCAACAUGUCAAAUUCAUCUUUAUCUUCUAUUGGUUCUUUUUUUACCUAUUAUGUUACAUAAAACGUUAUAUUAUAUUUCCACAAAAAAUAUAGAAGCGAUUUUAUUAAAAAAAGAAGACUUAAUAAUGUGUACUCCAUUUACCCUUUGAUGUUUCUUUAUGCCCUCCUUUUUAUCCUUAGAUACAAUUUCUGCUUUUUCAAUCUUUCUUUUUAAUUCAGUAUCAAUUAUGGGUACUAUUCGACGAAUAUCAUCAGAAGUGUAAUACUUUGAGGGUGGUUUUUUAAUACAUUGUUUAGACUUCUGCUCUUCUUUUCGUUCUUUUUCUUCUAACUAUAGUAAAAUAUAGUAUAUAUGAGAAAAACUAAAUAUUAUCUUAUUAAAAAUAAAAAGAAGUUA
rnacentral:misc_RNA from 1 species